UUGAACGCUGGCGGCAUGCCUUACACAUGCCAGUCGCACGGCAGCGCGGACUUCGGUCUGGCGGCGAGUGGCGAACGGGUGAGUAAUACAUCGGAACGUACCCUGUUGUGGGGGAUAACUAGUCGAAAGAUUAGCUAAUACCGCAUACGACCUGAGGGUGAAAGUGGGGGACCGCAAGGCCUCACGCAGCAGGAGCGGCCGAUGUCUGAUUAGCUAGUUGGUGGGGUAAAGGCCCACCAAGGCGACGAUCAGUAGCUGGUCUGAGAGGACGAUCAGCCACACUGGGACUGAGACACGGCCCAGACUCCUACGGGAGGCAGCAGUGGGGAAUUUUGGACAAUGGGGGCAACCCUGAUCCAGCAAUGCCGCGUGUGUGAAGAAGGCCUUCGGGUUGUAAAGCACUUUUGUCCGGAAAGAAAUCGCGCUGGUUAAUACCUGGCGUGGAUGACGGUACCGGAAGAAUAAGCACCGGCUAACUACGUG
rnacentral:rRNA from 1 species